GGUCCAUUUUACCCAUGCUUGUAUGAGAUGAACAGAUUUUCUUGGAUUUUCUCCAGUACCUUAUCUCCUCACUUGUUGCAGCCAUUUGUCAUCCCCUUUGUGAGAAUCAGUUUCUUGGGAAUAGUUUAAAUACUUCUUCAGUCUUCUUAUUUUCACAUUACAUCUGAUUCAUCUUAUGCCCAGUUUUUCUCUCACCUCAUCUGUGCGCUGUUCUUCAUGCACUGUGGAGCUUGCUUUCUUCAGUUCUUUCCAGCAUCAGCACAUCCUUCAGAUUCAAUACCCUUAUCUCAUUGUACCAUGAGGUACAUAUUUCAUUACCAUGCAAUAUCACACUAUGUGAGAUCAUUGCCAUUGCCCCUGGACUGGCUCUGGUGCGGGUGGCAUGUAAAAUACACCAUUUUGAGCGUGGCCAUUGCCAGUACCGCCUGACUGGCCUUCGUCCUGGUGGCACGUAAAAGCACCCACUACACUCUCGGAGUGGUUGGCGUUAGGAAGGGCAUCCAGCUGUAGAAACUGUGCCAAAUCAGAUUGGAGCCUGUUGUAGCCAUCUGGUUUCACCAGUCCUCAGUCAAAUCGUCCAACCCAUGCUAGCAUGGAAAGCGGACGUUAAACGAUGAUGAUGAUGAUGAUAUGCAAGAAUCAGGCUAUCUGUCUUUUCCUUAGACUGAGACCCACUUUGCUGCCUGCGGAAGUAAUAGCCCCCUGAACUAUUUCUAACCUGUUCUAGAUCUGGUUACUGUGUUUAUGAAAAACUUCUACCACUGAUUAGGUCACUUACGAAACAAAAGCUGCCAGUUCCAUCUAGAGAGCCUCACGGAUAUUUGAAAGAAUGUAUUCUAUGGGUACUCUUAGAGCUAACCAUACCUGUGCAUAUAAAGUUCUUUACCUGUGAUCUGCCUGUAUCUCUUUUGUGCUCUCAGUUUGCAUUUAGCUUACAGUGCAGAUUAUAAUUUGUACCUGCACCUUUUCUGCAUAUUAGGUAGGGCUAUUUCCCUUCUGUAAUCAAAAAAAAAAAGAAAGAAAAGAAAAUGUUUUACACUAAUUAGAUUUUUGUUUGUUUGAUAGUUUUCUUUUCUUUUUCAUUUUGUUUUUUGUUUUACUUAAACAGUGUAACAGUCUGAGGAAAUGGUCAGUGUCUAUAGAUUUAUUUGUCCCAGUUGUUGGGGUUUAGUGUUGUGUGAAGUUAGUGAUGCUUUGAAUUACUUCAGCUUAGUCAGUUGUAUGAUUAACAUGGGCAUGAAAGGAUUCCCAGAACAAUGCAAUCGUAGGGGUGAAGAAAAUAAAAAGUCACACAAGAAAUAAUAAUGACAAGGAGAAAGAAUGGUGCAGUGUGUUAGUGAUGCAAACAAGUAGAAGGGUAGACGGAGCAGUUUGGUCAGCAAACACAAGAGCAGACACUGCAAUAGUGGCAAAAGAAGUGGUAUAGAGGGAAUAUAGCUUGACUUGAGAGUGGAUGAGUUGAGCAGCUGUUGAAUGUUAAACUAAAAGACAAUUUACUUUUCUUACUUUUUGAUUAGUAACUUUUCCUUGAAUGAAUGUGUGAUGGGUUUUCUAUCCAGAUGUGGAAACAGUUUUUUUUUUACAGGGUAUUGAGAUGAAUUAAAAUAUUAAAAUUAGUUUUGCUAUUUCUGAAAUAUUCUUUGUCAUUUCUCAAGGUUCAAACAUUGUUUUGAAAUUAUGAGAAUUUUUUUUUUUUUUUUUUUUUUUCCCUCCAAAUAUUAAAAAAAAUUUUGUCAUCGCCAUCUCAUACUUUACACUGUCUUGAACUGCAUUGUCAAAUACACCCCUUCCUUUCUUAAAACAAUACAUUGUGAUUUGAGGAAGUUUUGGUUGCUAUUUCUAGCAGGUUGAGCAACAGCAUAAGGGCUUCACUACUGGUUCAGCUGUUUGCCUCAUUAGCUCAUCACCUCUUUUCCAUUCUGGCAUGAGCUGGACAUGGCUACUAAGUAACAUCAAUCCAUUCACUUUUAUCUUAUUCUGGCUCAGUUGAAGCAAACAUUUUAUCUUUGUGCCUUGUCCAUGUUUACUAAAUUUUCUUUUUGUUUGUUUUCUUUGUAUUGAUGUCUCUUAUUUUUGUUAUUAUAUGGUUAACAUAUUUUUUUUCGUCUUUUUUUUUUUUCAGCACAUGAUCAAGUAUAAGUACAUCCCAUUCACACAUGGCAAGGCUGUAUAUAAGGGGAAGGAAGACUCAGGAAAGGAUGGGACCAGUGCUGAAGCUUCACAUUCGCGGCAAAUUGGACCGACGAUUCACACAUGAGGAAUUUUAUGUACUGGACAAUAAAAGAGCAGCAGAAAGAAAUAAGAAAAUAAAGUGAGAAAGCAAAGAAAGUGAAUACACGUUAUACAAAAGAAAAUCCCCAAACUUUGCAUAUACCAUAUAUGGUAUAUACAUGAAAUGCAUAUUAUGAUAUAUACAUACACACACACACACAUAUAUAUAUACAUAUAUGAUAUGUAUGUAUAUAUAUAUAUAUAUAUAUAUAUAUAUAUAUAUAUAUAUAUAUAUAUAUACAUACAUGAUAUGUAUGUGUGUAUAUAUGUAUAUAUAUAUAUAUGAUAAAUGCAUAAUAUAUAUAUAUAUAUAUAUAUAUAUAUAUAUACAUUGGUUACUUCCAAUGAGUUUGUUAAGCUGAAAAGUGACUGUUUUAGUGUAUUAUUCACUAACUUUGAACAUCAGUCUCGAUAUGACUGAUUAAUUAAUAAUAAUAAUUGUAAAACUAAUACUAAUCAUCAUGAAAAAUUUUGCAUGUUUUUUUUUUUAUCCCUUGGAAAUUUGAGAAAUGUUUUCAAGUCACCAACAUCCUUAAACAAGCCUUUCUUUUUUGUUUUGGGGUUUUUUUUCUGGUUCUGGUUAAUUUUUAAAAUGUUUCCUUCAAUAAAAGAUAGAAAAACUGUA